rnacentral:lncRNA from 1 species
GGGGUGUUAAGGAUGUUCUAUCUACAUAGAGGAGGGGAGAUAAGGAUGUUCUAUCUACGUAGAGGAGGGGUGUUAAGGAUGUUCUAUCUACAUGGAGGAGGGGAGGGGGGAUAAGAAUGUUCUAUCUACGUAGAGGAGGGGUGUUAAGGAUGUUCUAUCUACAUGGAGGAGGGGAGGGGGGAUAAGAAUGUUCUAUCUACGUAGAGGAGGGGUGUUAAGGAUGUUCUAUCUACAUAGAGGAGGGGAGAUAAGGAUGUUCUAUCUACGUAGAGGAGGGGUGUUAAGGAUGUUCUAUCUACAUAGAGGAGGGGAGAUAAGGAUGUUAUAUCUACGUAGAGGAGGGGUGUUAAGGAUGUUCUAUCUACAUAGAGGAGGGGAGAUAAGGAUGUUCUAUCUACGUAGAGGAGGGGUGUUAAGGAUGUUCUAUCUACAUAGAGGAGGGGAGAUAAGGAUGUUCUAUCUACGUAGAGGAGGGGUGUUAAGGAUGUUCUAUCUACAUGGAGGAGGGGAUAAGGAUGUUCUAUCUACAUGGAGGAGGGGAGAGGGGAUAAGAAUGUUCUAUCUACAUAGAGGAGGGGUGUUAAGGAUGUUCUAUCUACAUAGAGGAGGGGUGUUAAGGAUGUUCUAUCUACAUAGAGGAGGGGGGAUAAGGAUGUUCUAUCUACAUAGUGGAGGGGUGUUAAGGAUGUUCUAUCUACAUAGAGGAGGGGGGAUAAGAAUGUUCUAUCUACUUAGAGGAGGGGAGAUAAGGAUGUUCUAUCUACAUAGUGGAGGGGUGUUAAGGAUGUUCUAUCUACAUAGAGGAGGGGGGAUAAGAAUGUUCUAUCUACUUAGAGGAGGGGAGAUAAGGAUGUUCUAUCUACAUAGAGGAGGGGGAUAAGGAUGUUCUAAUUACAUAGUGGAGGGGGAUA